rnacentral:rRNA from 1 species
GACGAACGCUGGCGGCGUGCUUAACACAUGCAAGUCGAACGAAGUGGCGAACGGGUGAGUAACGCGUAAUCAACCUGCCCUUCAGAGGGGGACAACAGUUGGAACCGACUGCUAAUACCGCAUACUGAAGGAGGGGAUUGCGUCUGAUUAGCUAGUUGGAUGGGUAACGGCCCAACAAGGCGAUGAUAAGUAGCCGGGCUGAGAGGAGGAACGGGCAAAUUGGGACUGAGAAACGGCCCAGACUACUGCGGGGGGCAGCAGUGGGGAAUCUUCCGCAAUGGACGAAAGUCGGACGGAGCAACGCCGCGGGAGUGAUGACGGCCUUCGGGUUGUAAAGCUCUGUUAAUCGGGACGCGGUACCGGAAUAGAAAGCCACGGCUAACUACGUGCCAGCAGCCGCGGUAAUUC